rnacentral:rRNA from 1 species
GGCGAACGCUGGCGGCGUGCUUAACACAUGCAAGUCGAACGGAAAGGCCCUGCUUUUGUGGGGUGCUCGAGUGGCGAACGGGUGAGUAACACGUGAGUAACCUGCCCUUGACCUUGGGAUAACUUCAGGAAACUGGGGCUAAUACCGGAUAGGAGCUCCUGCUGCAUGGUGGGGGUUGGAAAGUUUCGGCGGUUGGGGAUGGACUCGCGGCUUAUCAGCUUGUUGGUGGGGUAGUGGCUUACCAAGGCUUUGACGGGUAGCCGGCCUGAGAGGGUGACCGGCCACAUUGGGACUGAGAUACGGCCCAGACUCCUACGGGAGGCAGCAGUGGGGAAUAUUGCACAAUGGGCGGAAGCCUGAUGCAGCAACGCCGCGUGCGGGAUGACGGCCUUCGGGUUGUAAACCGCUUUCGCCUGUGACGAAGCGUGAGUGACGGUAAUGGGUAAAGAAGCACCGGCUAACUACGUG